UCUCUGACAAGAAGCCAUUUCUCUGUCCACACUUUUAUAUACACAGAUUACUACUGUGGUUGGUGAUGAAUUGUAAGAAGCUGAUCGGAAAUCUAUAUUUUCUUAUAAUUGUAGGUCUACAUUAUUGUAAGCAGAACCAAAACAUGGAAGGUUUUUCAUCAUCUCUAUUACCUGAAUAUGAAAUGCUGAGUAGACAAUGUUAGUGAAAGUAGACAGUACAAAGUGGAGACUGUUGUGGUAUCAUAUAUUGAAGACAUAUAUGUGCAGGGAAACUGCAAUCACUGUCCAGACCACCGCUAGUGUGCAAAACCUGCUACCAGCCUUCUGAAACUGCAGUGGUCAAGGUGGAUGUCAAGGUUCUGUGUUGGACCUGCCAAGAAGUGGACGCAAUAAAACUGCCACAGAUGAAGCAACAACAAUGGCCAUCCUGGCGUUCUUCAGCAAGAGCCCGCAUCGUAGCGCCCAGCAUCUGUCACAGGAGAGUGGGACUAGAGAGUACACCGUUCAUUUUGUCAGAUGAUAAAUGGUGUGAAUUUCAUUUGUCAGCAGCAAACAUUAGGAUGAAUGUUAAGCCAGUACGUGUAACGGCAACAUGAGAAAAUGGGUAAACGGUAAAAGUUUCCUGUAGACUGACUCAUCAACCACAAACAUAAGGUCUGCAGACCAUUGUACUAACAUGCGCUUACGUAUCCGGUUUGGUUCUAACCCCUGCAGAGUGACUUUUGUACUUUAUGGCUGUUUGAAGAUGGUAUCAGCUGUCAAUUGACGUAUUAGGUGAAUAUCAUAUCCAGACACACAUUUAAAAACUACAUUAAAUCUUA